ACUCCAAAGUGUUCUGUCAUUUCUCAGCGUGUGUUCUCGUGAGCUCUGACUGCUCCAAUGGCCGAGCUUGUGGGCAGCAUGGUGGUCGGGUCACUGCUGUCCCUGGUGAAGGAGAAGGCGUCCAGCUACCUCCUGGACCAGUACAAGGUGAUGGAGGGCAUGGAGGAGCAGCACAAGAAGCUCAAGGUCAUGCUGCCGGCCAUCCUGGAAAGGAUCACUGACGCAGAGAAGCAGGCAACCUCCAGAGAAGCAAUCAGACCCUGGCUUCAGAAGCUUAAGGUGGCGGCAUACGAGGCCAUCCAAGUCUUCGAUGAAUUCAACUAUGAGGCCCUCCGUCGUCAAGCCAAGAAAGAGGGGCGCUACAUCAAGCUCGGGAUGAGCAACCGCAUCAUGUUCCGUUAUAGGAUGGGCAACAAGCUUCGCAAGAUUGUGCGCGAUAUUGAGGCCCUUGUCAAGCAGAUGCGCGACUUUCGGUUCGACAAACAGCCACAAGCGCAGGUUCAGAUAAAUUAUCUGCGUGAGAAUGACUCCACCAUGGUUGACCCAGAGAUUGUCGGCAGAUCCAGAGAUGAAGAGAAGCAAAAGAUUGUUAGAAUGUUGGUCAAAGAACAAGCUAACAAUAAGGAUCCGAUGGUCGUUCCCAUUGUUGGAAUGGGUGGAUUGGGCAAGACCACCCUAGCUCAGCUCAUCUAUAAUGACCCUGAAGUGAGGAAGCAUUUCCACCAACUACUGAAGUGGGUCUGCGUGUCAGAUGAUUUCGAUGUUUGUAACCUUGCCAACAAGAUUUGCAAGGCUACUGAGAGCAACCUGGAGAAUGCCUUGCAGAACCUUCAGAGAGAACUCGCUGGAAAGAGGUACCUUCUUGUAUUGGAUGACGUCUGGAAUAAGGAUGAUAACAAGUGGAACAAGCUGAAUGCCUGUCUUAAACAUGGUGAUGUUGGUAGCGCCAUACUAACGACAACCCGUGAUAAAGAAAUAGCUCAACUCAUGGGUACAGUUGAAGAACAUGGCAUUGCACGUUUGGACAAUAAAUUCAUCAAGGAAAUUAUUGAGGCUAAAGCAUUCAUUUCGCAAGAGAGAAAACCAGCUGAUUUAGCUGGCUUGGUUGAUGACGUUGUUGAGAGAUGUGCCGGGUCUCCAUUGGCAGCGAAGGCACUAGGAUCUGUACUACAUGGCAAGACAAACACAGAAGAAUGGAAGGCUGUGCUUAGCAAAAGCAUCGCCCAUAACAAGGACGAUAAAAUCCUGCCUAUUCUCAAGCUCAGUUACGAUGACCUGCCAUCACACAUGAAGCAGUGCUUCGCUUUCUGUGCUGUGUUUCCUAAGGACCAUGAGAUUAACGUGGAAAUGCUGAUCCAACUAUGGAUGGCAAAUGACUUUAUUCUUGAACAAAAAGAUGUUCGUCAUGAAACAAUUGGUAAACAGAUUUUCAGUGAGCUGGUCUCAAGGUCAUUCUUUCAAGAUGUGCAGCAAGUCAUAGGGGAAAGAUAUGAUUCCGUGUAUUGGUAUUUCUCUACAAGUACAUGUAAAAUCCAUGAUCUUAUGCACGAUGUGGCACUAUCUGUCAUGGGCAAAGAAGUUGCUACCACAACUGAGAAGCCAAAGCAAAGUGAUGAGUUUCUUCAGAACACUUGUCGUCAUAUAUUGUUAUCAUGUGAGAAGCCAGAGGCCGUUUUGAAUGAUUCUCUGAAUAUAAGGUCUCCAGCUAUGCAAACACUACUAUGUGGUCAUCCCAUAGAAAGUUCCCUGCAGCAUCUUGCAAAAUACAGCUCUCUGCGUGCAUUGGAACUUUGUCUGCAUAAGAACACAAUCCUACUGAAACCAAAGCAGCUACAUCUCUUGAGGUAUCUUGAUAUCUCGUUUAGUGAUAUAGUGGCACUUCCGGAAGAUAUCAGCAUUUUGUACAAUCUGCAAACGCUGAAUGUUGCGCACUGUGACGAACUUGGCCGGCUUCCAAAGGGAAUAAAGUACAUGACUGCCCUCCGUCACCUCUACACUCACGGAUGUGAGGAGUUGAAGCGCAUGCCACCAGAGGUUGGACAUCUCACUUCCCUGCAAACACUUACAAAUUUUGUAGUGGGUACAGGCCCUGAUUGCAGUAGUAUUGCAGAGCUGCAGCAUUUAAACAACCUUGGUGGUCCACUACUGCUUAGUCAACUCGAAAAUGUGACAAAAGCAGCAGAUGCAAAACAGGCCAAUCUUGGAAAUAAAAAGGAGCUCAGGGAAUUGUCAUUAACGUGGACAGGUAGUGAGGAGGAGAAACAACAUUGUCAUAAGGUGCUGGAGGGUCUCGAAGCUCCUCCUGGACUAGAGGCUCUGAGGAUAGAGCAUUACCAAGGAACCAGUUUCCCAACGUGGAUGGGUACGCUGACAAAAAUGGUGGAGCUUCAUCUUUUUGACUGUAACAAGUCCAAUAAGCUUCCUCCACUUGGGAGUGUACCAGCUCUACAAGUUCUUCGCUUGGAAAGAUUGAAAAAUCUGGAAAGCUUGUGCAGUGGUGGUACAUUCUUUCACUUUCCUAAUCUGAAGGAGCUUACGCUGGACGAACUGCCGGAAUUUGAUAGAUGGUGUGAAGUAAACUGGGUCCAAGGAGAACAGAUAAUGUUUCCUCAACUUGAGAAGUUGUUUAUUACAAAUUGUGGAAAGAUUACAGCAUUACCAGGGCCAGCACUUCUCGGAGGGCCUGAGCUCGGAGCAGCACCGAAGGUGCUAAAAUCAGAAGACUUGGAGCUUGGGACAACAUUGUGUGGUGGAGAUUAUGGAAAGGCACGAUCAUCCUUUCCAGCACUGAAGGUACUUAAAUUGUGUCGGUUGGACAACUUUCAGAGCUGGGAGGCAACGGAAGCAGAUCAAGGAAAUACAAUAUUUCCAAAUCUUGAAGAGUUAUCAAUCGAAAAGUGCCCCGAACUGGCAGCAUUACCAUCAGCUACAUCUCAGGGAGUAUCAUUUGACCAUAGUGAUGUUACAGCAUGGUUAGCAUUUCCAAACUUAAAGAGGCUCCGGUUAUUUUACUUAGAUAGUUUUAAGAGCUUGGGGAUGACGGAAGCGACUCAUGGUGAACAGCAGAGAUUCCCUGACCUUGAGACUGUGUGUGUUUACAAAUGUCCGAAGUUGACAACUCUACUGGGGGUGAUAGAAGCACCAAAGCUUGGUGCAUUACAAAUAAAUGGCAGCCAACUGACAGCAAUAAUAGUGCCUACAAUUAUUAACUCAUUGUCCAAACUGGCGUUAUCAGUCGAAGACACAGAAACUACUUUACCAACUGUGCAUAGGGCCUUCGAGCUGGUGGACGCCAAUAAAUCCCCUCUGACACGUCUGGAGCUAAGAGGCUGCAACUUUCUGUUCCCCUCAAGUCCACUGGCACUAUGGACAUGUUUUGUCCAGCUCCAACGUUUGACAAUCAAGAUCAUCCAUGCGCUUGUCUACUGGCCGGAAAAAGAGUUCCAGAGCUUGGUAUCCUUGAGGCACCUUUCCAUUUGGAACUGCAGUGGUCUGAUUGGGUACGCGAAAGCUGCUCCUGGCCAACCAAUAUCAGAAAGGAGCCAAGUUCUGCCCCGUCUCGAUUCUCUAUACAUACAGGAUUGUGAAAGUCUGGUAGAGGUCUUCAACGUCCCCGCAUCUCUCAAGACGAUGGAUUUGCGCGGCUGCCCUAAGCUUAAGUCCAUAUUCGGAGAGCAACAGGACGAGCCAACAUUCAAUCAAGGGCCCAGCGCUGUACCGAAGCUGUCAUCAUCGGCCCACGAUCACUUACUACUUCCAUGUCUUGAAUAUCUAAGAAUAUACAGGUGCGAAAGCUUGUCAGAGGUUCUCAACCUUCCCCCAUCCCUCAGGAAUAUAGAUAUUUGUGAGUGUGGCAAACUCCAACUCCUAUCAGGCCAGCUGGAUGGACUCCGAAAACUAGAUAUUUGGGUAUGCCCAGAGUUGAGAUCACUGGAAUCUUGCUUGGGAGAGUUUUCAACCCUGGAACGCCUCAGACUUCGUGAAUGCAAAAGCCUGGCAUCCUUGCCCGAUGGGCCACAAGCAUACUCAUCUCUCCGUGAUCUUUUCAUUAAAUCAUGUCCAGGUAUACAGUCGCUUCCUUCAUCCCUGAAGAAGAGACUGGACGACCUCAUUUAUAAAUAUUUGGAUGCUCGUCACGAAGGUGCCAAGUUAUUGAAACCAAAGACAUGGAAAUAUGCCAUUCAUUUGUAGAAAUCAGUGAGCUGUCAAAACAUGAAGUACCAGGGACAUGUUUGCCUCAUUUACUAUAAUAUGGAAAUGCUAUUUUCCUUCUAUGUUGAUCGUUGAUCAAGCUACAUCAUGGCAGUUAUCUCCAUGUGAUUGGAAGAGAGUUCUGCAUUUUGCAUACCAACUGCAACUAUGAUGUUUAUAACUGAGCCUGGAGAGAUAUUAUGCCAUUUCUGUGACCAUUCUGUUCUGUUAUGUCCAUUUCACAUGUUCAAAACAAAAUUUUCCCUUAAGUGACUAUUCUAUUGAAUUGAUAUUUUACUUUUUCAGAUAAUACUGAUAUUUUUAACUUGCUUUA